rnacentral:rRNA from 1 species
UACGUAGGGUGCAAGCGUUGUCCGGAAUUAUUGGGCGUAAAGAGCUCGUAGGCGGUUUGUCGCGUCGACUGUGAAAACCCGAGGCUUAACCUCGGGCCUGCAGUCGAUACGGGCAGACUAGAGUUCGGUAGGGGAGACUGGAAUUCCUGGUGUAGCGGUGAAAUGCGCAGAUAUCAGGAGGAACACCGGUGGCGAAGGCGGGUCUCUGGGCCGAUACUGACGCUGAGGAGCGAAAGCGUGGGGAGCGAUCCGG